ACAUGACAACACUUCUGAAAAAUUAUUCCAUUGCUAGAAUCAUCAAACACAAUCCUGAAACUUCAACACCAACAACAAUCAAUUUUGGGAUUCCAAAUUUAUAGAAAUUUCCUUGAAUUCAACAUGGAGCUGAAAAAGAGAACUCAUUGAUAAAUACAUUAACUUAAUUUCGUAAAUAAAAAGUUACCCAUCAUUUUUACUUUAAGAGGUAAUAGCAGAUGUAAUUAUGGUGGACUUUCCCACAAAAGCACCAACAGCUAAAAAAAUAUGUUCAAUGUUCAAUUCUCAAUCCCGCAAGAUAGGCUAAUUUCUAUGAGCCCAAAUUCCUAUCAUUAUUUUCCCUAUUUACAACGAUCAUGGAAUCUUAACUCCAAAACUGAAUACGCCGCCCCAUUCAAAUCAGAAUUACUUUCAGUAUCCACCCAGAAUAACAGAAAGCAAAAAACAAAAAAAAAAAGAACC
rnacentral:misc_RNA from 1 species